GACAGAGGUGCCGAGCGUUAGGCGGAAUCACUGGGCUUAAAGCGUGUGUAGGCGGGCGAUCAAGUACCUUGUGAGAUCCCACGGCUCAACCGUGGAACCGCUGGGUAUACUGGUUGUCUUGAGCCGGCUAGGGGCGAGCGGAACAGACGGUGGAGCGGUGAAAUGCGUAGAUAUCGUCUGGAACGCCGAAGGUGAAAACAGCUCGCUGGGGCCGCGCUGACGCUGAGACACGAAAGCCAGGGGAGCGAACGGG
rnacentral:rRNA from 1 species